rnacentral:rRNA from 1 species
UUUAAAUUGAGAGUUUGAUCCUGGCUCAGGACGAACGCUGGCGGCGUGCCUAAUACAUGCAAGUCGAACGAAACUUUCUUACACCGAAUGCUUGCAUUCAUCGUAAGAAGUUGAGUGGC